GGCAACGCUGCGGCCCCGCCCACGUCAUGGCGCCUGAGGAGAACGCGGGUACCAAACUCUUGCUGCAGAGUUUCGAGCGCCGCUUCCUAGCGGCGCGCACACUGCGCUCCUUCCCCUGGCAGGUGGGCGGCGGGGCGAGCGGAGAGGCCUGCGGGGCUUGCGGAAGUCCAGGGGCAGACGGGAUGGGUCUCCCUGCUGAAACCCCCGGCGCUCCUGCCACUAACCUGAAGCUUUCACCGUAGACGUGCUGUAUUGCCCAGAAGCCAUCGUGUCCCUGGUCGGGGUCCUGCGGAGGCUGGCUGCCUGCUGGGAGCACCAGCGGGCUCCUGAGGUCUACAUGGCCUUUACCGUCCGCAACCCAGAGACGUGCCAGGUGUUCACCACCGAGCUAGGCUGGGCUGGGAUCAGAUGGGAAGCGGAAGCUCAUCAUGACCAGAAACUGUUUCCCUAUGGAGAGCACUUGGAGAUGGCAAUGCUGAACCUCACACUGUAGGACUCAUACACGACUCCAACGGGAUUGUUAGAAUCAAAUCACUCUCGUGGGAAGAAUUUUUAUAUGGGAAAGCGGAUAAAACUUUCAUUGGACUGGAAUGUUUGGAGAAUGUUAAAUUCCAAAUCAGGAACCACAAUCUGCCCUCUAAUAAGACAUCGGCUAUCUAAGCAUGUGGGUGCCCCCUUUCUGCCAGCAGUUCUGGUUCUUAAGAAAAUCACCAUAAAUCAGACAUGAAAAUUCUGGCUCCAAAAAUAGCAUUUUCUUUGUGCAAAUAAAAACGUGUGUAUCAAGUA
rnacentral:lncRNA from 1 species